rnacentral:rRNA from 1 species
UACGUAGGGUGCGAGCGUUAAUCGGAAUUACUGGGCGUAAAGCGUGCGCAGGCGGUUUUGUAAGCCAGAUGUGAAAUCCCCGGGCUCAACCUGGGAAUGGCAUUUGGGACUGCAAGGCUGGAGUGCGGCAGAGGAGACUGGAAUUCCUGGUGUAGCAGUGAAAUGCGUAGAUAUCAGGAGGAAUACCGAUGGCGAAGGCAGUCUCGUGGCUGACACUGACGCUCAUGCACGAAAGCGUGGGGAGCGAA